rnacentral:rRNA from 1 species
CCAGACUCCUACGGGAGGCAGCAGUGAGGAAUAUUGGUCAAUGGCCGCAGGGCUGAACCAGCCAAGUCGCGUGAGGGAAGACGGUCCUAUGGAUUGUAAACCUCUUUUGUCGGGGAGCAAAAAGGCCUCGUGAGGCCACAAGUGAGAGUACCCGAAGAAAAAGCAUCGGCUAACUCUGUGCCAGCAGCCGCGGUAAUACGGAGGAUGCGAGCGUUAUCCGGAUUUAUUGGGUUUAAAGGGUGCGCAGGCGGGAGAUCAAGUCAGCGGUAAAAUGUCGGGGCUCAACCCCGGCCGGCCGUUGAAACUGGUUUUCUAGAGUUGGAGAGAAGUAUGCGGAAUUCGUGGUGUAGCGGUGAAAUGCAUAGAUAUCACGAAGAACUCCGAUUGCGAAGGCAGCAUACCGGCUCCAUACUGACGCUGAGGCACGAAAGCGUGGGGAUCGAACAGGAUUAGAUACCCUUGUAUU